rnacentral:rRNA from 1 species
AUUGAACGCUGGCGGCAUGCCUUACACAUGCAAGUCGAACGGUAACAGGUUAAGCUGACGAGUGGCGAACGGGUGAGUAAUGUAUCGGAACGUGCCCAUUCGUGGGGGAUAACUGCUCGAAAGCGCAGCUAAUACCGCAUACGACCUGAGGGUGAAAGCGGCGGAUAGCAAGACCUCGCGCGAUUGGAGCGGCCGAUAUCAGAUUAGGUAGUAGGUGAGGUAAAGGCUCACCAAGCCGACGAUCUGUAGAUGGUCUGAGAGGAAGAACAGCCACACUGGGACAGAGAAACGGCCCAGACUCCGACGGGAGGCAGCAGUGGGGAAUUUUGGGCAAUGGGCGAAAGCCUGAUCCAGCCAUGCCGCGUGAGGGAAGAAGGCCUUCGGGUUGUAAAGCGCUGUUGGCAGGGAAGAAAAGGUUCUGGCUAAUACCGGGAAAUAAUGACGGUACCUGAAGAAUAAGCACCGGCUAACUACGUG